ACAAUAGGUACCUGUAUUCUGCACGGACUGCUGGGCAGCACUGACACUCUGGAGAAGGUCUGCCUCUGUCUGCGCUUUCCUGGUUCUAUGCAGGCAGAUGAGUGCCACAGCUGUAACUGAGGCACAGAAUGAUAAACACAGUGAAGCCAAUUUCCAGGAUGGCGAGAGGGGGCACCGGAGGUGACAACAAUGACAAGGACCCAAGGACCGCCCUUUGGACAAGUUUUAGGUAAGAAAACGUGUACGCCCCGAUUCUUGCAUUUUUGCACGCUUGUGGCUGAGAGAGACGUUGAGAUAGAAAGCGAGUCUCAGUAGGAAAAUAUUUUCGCGAGGGUAUCAUCUGUGCUGUCACUUGCCUGCAAACCUGUGUUCUCAGGGCUUUGUGUUACGAGAAUCGUUGGAGGUGAGGCGUGAGCAGGGCUGGGCGGACGGGUGAGCUGCUUUUUAUGUCUGUCUGCUGACAUUUAUCAUGCUGUUUAAAUUUGUAUCUGGAAAAAAUUCUGUUUGAUGAUAGUUAGCAAUGUUUUGUGCAACGUAGAGCAUAUGGCAGUGUAGAAUUCAAGUGAUGCUCUUUCAUUCUUAAUUUGAAAUUAUUUUUAUACUCAACUGUACUGAGGUCACAGAGUUUUAAAAAUUAAUGAGAUUCCCUGUGGAGUUCAAAUAGUAAUGUCUACGUGAGCUGACACAAAAAAGAUAAGAUAUAGCUGGUAUAUGUUUAAGGUGGAUUUAACUGUCUUAAUGGAACAUACUCCAUUUGAAAUGUAUCAAUUGUACAAUAGUUUAUGGAAACCUAAGUAUUGGGGGAUAUUAGUCCUUAAAUUUUUUUUAAUGACCUGGAGACGUUUUGUCAAAACUAGCUAUAGAAGAGGAGUAGAUUGUGUGGAGGCAUUGCUAAAACUUGAUAGACAUAAUUGUUCUGGCAGUGGAGAAUACCUUACACUUUCGAGGAAAUGACAAAUAAUGAAUGAACCACAUGCUAAAAAAUAUGCAAGAGUGUGCUUUCAUCUUAAGUAAUAUAUAAAAAUUCAGGAGAUUUUUAGGGUGAAAAACUGCUGGCACGAACAAAGAAGCAAGUGUACCCAUAGAUGAGAAUUCUUUGUCACAAAAAUGAAUCCCGGGCAUGGAUUUAGGAGGUUAAGUGAUUUCUACAUUCUCAGUGCCCCACAGAAGGGGUGAGUCCAGACAUUUAAAAAUGUACUGAAAACUUUCAUUUCCCACAAUUUAAAAACAUUGUUUAUGUUCUUGAUACAACACAUUGUUUAAAUGAAGGGGACUGAAAAGCAGUCUGAGUAUACAGUAAUCGGGGCUAAAGAUGCUUUUUAUCUGAGUUCCCCAUUUACAAGACCCAUUCUGAGCUUCCUGUGAUAUAUUGUUAUGUAAAUACUGUGCAGCCGGGGAAAGCAGUACUAUGGAGAUUCAAUUUACUUUGAAAGUUGUUCAUUAUAGCAAGGAUGAAUGUUAUUUAUUUGAUGUGAUUCAAAGGCUGGAAAUGACUUUUUCAUUGUGGCGCCUUUUGUAAUGGGUGCAGGGUGAUCUAAUCUUUUUAAUUUUGGCUUUCACACCAGUGGAGAUGAAAAGAGAUCUGAACUCAUUUAUCGGUUGCUAGGUCCUUCUGGAGACCCAAGUCCUGUUCUUGGUUGCUAUGGCCAGGCUGACCUCAAUCUCUGUGGUUUGGGGGACUUAGGGAGCCUUUUCUCUCUCUUUCUUUCUUUCUUUCUUUCUUUCUUUCUUUCUUUCCUUCCUUUCUUUUUCUUUUUCUUUUUUUUUAUUGAGGAGCAUGCACCUUGAUUUAUGUCCAAAAUUGUGGCUGAAUGUCUUUGUCUGUAAGUGAUAAAUGGUGCCGAACAAUUCAUCAGUUCUUACAAGUAAACACCGCUGUCCCACUAAAAAUAUGUUUUGUUCUGAGUUAAUGGUAUGGAACAAGGCAGCCUCCACAAACAGCUAUCUUUUAUUGCGGAGGGGCCUCUGAAACUUGGAGCAAAGUGGAGGAAAUUGGCACGUAUUUUCUUGUGCAUUAGCAUUUCACUUGUGACUCGGUGAUACCACUUUAGGCGGAUUGAGGCUGAGAGGGCAAACCUUCCGUGUCCUCACUUUCUCCCUAGCUGGGGCCGCCUCAGACACAGGCCCUCUCCAGACGCCUGGAUUCGGCCGGGGGCCCUCGGAAGUCAGGCGGAGUCCCUGAUGGGGAUGGGGUGGGCCUCCGCUCUGCAAGCUCCCUGCGCUGAGGCAUAAAUGGGCAGAUGUGGUGCGGCUCUGCUGCCUUCAGUCACGGGCUGGUUCUUUGAGGGAAAGUUGUAUCCAAUACUGGCGACUCCCAGGGAUGUUCUGCUUGUGUGCUCCUUAAUGGUCCCUGGAUGUGCUUGCAUUCUAGAACCUUGUUAAGAAAGGAGCCGCGCUGAUUAAGGGAUUGUGGAGUAUACAGCCGUGCUUAGCAGAUGAGCCCUCCUGUAUUUCCCGCUCCCUUAAAAAGUGCUUAAUUGAUGCUGCAGGGAGCAUACAGUCCGCUAAUAAGAUGAUGCUGACAAAACAGCUACCAGAACCAGGCACUUACUCCUUAUAAGCACCGUCCGCUUCCCUCUGAGAGAUUGCAGCUUUGUAGGGUGGUUUUUUCUUUUAAUAGUAACAUGCUAAUGGUUUUUAUCCUAAAUCAGCCAGCGCUGAGUAUCUUCAGGAAAAAUGAGUUCCAUAAGAAGUGGCAUCCUCCUCCAAUGGGAAGAUUCUCAGGCUGAUGGAGAGAGUGACGAGUGGGUUGCCAGCUAUAGUCAGCGUGCACAAUGGCUGCGGGGAAUAUAUUCAGACAUGCCCAAGGAGGUCUGCCCAGGGGGAAACACAUACCUUUGAGGUUUAAAUCAGAAAGGAAGGAGAGGCUGUUUCUACAGGUGUCAUAGAAAAAUCAAUAUUGAGCCACGGAUUAUUGGAUCCCAUAGAACCAUGGAGACUUGGCAGUGAAAUUCUUCCAAAGGUGAGUAGGGGCAUUGAUUUUCCUUCUCAUGCCUGAAGAAAUAUGACACAGGAACGGAGGCUAAAUUUAGACUGGAAACAAGUCUGAUUUGAAACUAUGUGCCUUUAAAAAACUUUGUGACAGUUUUUUUUUUUAAUUAAACGAGGAAAUUGAAUGUGAGCAUAUAAAAUUUUUCUCAUAUAUUUUUCUUAGAUUUACUUUUUUUCUUUAUUCCUUUGCGUGCUUUUGAAAAAAAAAAAACGACUAUUUGACCAACAUUUUGUCUAUAAUUAAGAUCCAGUGAUUUCCUGUACAACAUAAAACAGUCUCGCUCUUAAACCUCUAACCACGACUGCAAUAGUCCUUCACCUUCUAAGAAAAAGCAUAUUAUUUAUACAAUCACACUUAAAAAUAUGUGCCAUGAUUUUUAGACGCGUACUUGCUUACUUGUUUCUUUGUUUUACAGUUUCUCCUAGACUUUGAAAAGUUGAAAAGCUCCACAUAACGCAUUGGUUGUUUUCCUGCAUUGCUUAGCAUUCCAUCCUUGCAGGCAGACGGUGUUCCUAGGUUUGGAAGGAUAAAUCCCAGGGGAAGUGAGCUGAAGAACAUUUCAUGCAUCACUCAUCCUAUUAUGAGCCCUGUGGUGUUCCAUCUCUCUACAAGGCUGGCUGAAACAACAACAGAAAUUGGUGUGUAAUUCGUAUUCUAACUUUGGAUCACCUGGUUAAUACUCUGACUCUGACUACCCAGAAAGACAAUGUUCUAUAAGAACUAUCUGUUAAAAGGUCUGCUGCUGCAUUAUUAAUAAAAUAACAGGGAAAAUGCGAUGAUCUGGAUGUCCCAUCUGAUGAGGUAAGGUUUUAUCAUGUCCCAUAAAAUGAGAUUACAUUUGAUUUUAUUUAUCAUUAUCCCAGCCCCAAGAAAGUUUGCAUUUGUCAAUUUGACACAGAAAUCUGUAAUAUAAAGCUUAAUAUGCACUAUCUAAACUGCGACCAAUUUCAGGCAUUAAAAGCCAGGCUAUUUAAUGUAUUUUAUUUAUGUGUAAAUUACAUUAUCGUUACUGUUUUUCUAUCCUUUUCAGCUUGGAAAAUUGUAACUCAGUAUAUCGCACAACAUACUUCAAUAAAAAUAAAUUAUGUAUAUUAUAGUUCUUAUGGGGGGCAAAGGCAUACUAUUUUACUGACCUUUGGUGAGGUUUCACUUUUGAUGUGUGAAUUUUUAAAUGUGAACAAACCAAAAACAGUGGCAUACUUGGAAGUAAUCUAAAGCUAAAAUGGGAAAUGAAGAUUUUGUGGUAAGUGCCAGCCUCGUGUUUGCUAUUGCCAUACUUCGGCAUCUGCCUGAGAAGAAAAAAAAGUACAAAAGACAAUGGAGAGAUGAUGGAGGAGCUGGGCAUAUGGAAAGUUCCAGGUGCCUGUGGAUACAAUAUGAGGAUACUCAAAUAUCUAGUCCUCUUUUUUUGAUACCUAUCCUGUAAUCCAUCAGAGUGGCCACGUGCUCUCUUUGUAGUUCAAAAAUAUUAGUGUUUUCAACAUCAGUGCCCAUUAUGGCUAUACCAAAAUCCCCUUCUAUGUGUAAAAUAUAUCUUACCCAUAUCUGAGCAACAUGAUUGUAGCCCUUCUCUCUUUAGGUUAAGCACAUUGUAUGACUUCUCUUAAAAUGUUGCAAAGAUGAAUUUCCACUAGAUAAUUUGUAGUUGGUAAAAUAUCAUGAAUUUUUCAGGGGAAAAGUGGCAAUUAAUGGAAACAUAAUUAUCUUCAAUGUGAAAAUAGUCUGGGAUGCUAACUUUGGCGAGCACAAUGUCUCUAACUCAUUAUCAUUUUCUUUGCUUAUUUUGUUGUCAUUCUUCGGGUUCUUUCUGGAUCCAUCUCUCUUUUGUUUCCCUUCGACUCCUCUAUUGUAUUCCAGUUGGCAGUUAAAGAACCGAAACAGCAAUAAGACUGCGCAGGCACAUUUUCCCAGUGCCACCAACUGGGCGUUAAGCUGACUAACGUUUUGAAAGCCCAGCCCAUUUCGUUCACAGCAGGCAAGGCAGCGGUUGACUGAUUGUACCCGCCAGCUGGCUAAUAUCAUAAUUAACAAAGUUGCUACUACAUCUGCAAAGUUUAAUCGAAAAAUUUGCCAGUGAUGUGAUGGCAUUGUCACAAAGAUCACAAGGGACACGGAGUUGACUUUUGCUCAAGGUGGAAUGGCAAAGCUGUAUGGGCAAGAUGAGAAAUCGUGCACUUGUUCAGCCAAAGGUUAUGCUUCAUAUCACCCACCGGGGAGGAUCAUCUCUCAUGAAAACUUCCAAAUUUGAUUUUGAAAAUUAUUCAGAAAAAUUUAAGCCACGCUAUCUCCCACUGUAGGAAAGAAUAUACUCUGGAGGUUCCUAUAAUUCAAAGAAAAUGGACUGGGAUAGCAUUUGGGUUUGCAUGCCACCAAAAUCCUCUCGAGAAGGACAUCCAGGUUUUGCUAAAGGAUCACACUGUGGAAUCUACAACCGUGACAAACUUCUGCACUUACUGCCCCUUGAAAAACAAAAUAUUGGCAUGGGAAGGAGGCUAAUAAUGAAGGGCCGGGGAAGGAGGCCAGUGCUAGGAGGGUUAUCUCACUGCCUCAGAUGCUGGAUAAGUCCAAGGAAGCAGAAUCGCUUUUGGAUGACAUUCAGAAAGGCCGGAGUGAUUAUUUGGGAGAGAAAAGCCUGCCUAUUCUUUUCCAAGGUGCGUGACUGUUCCCCUGGCCUGCCCAUCCACUGAUGAAUUAUUAGCAACGUGCCUUAGACAAAGGACGCACGGGAGCCCCACCACACCUAGAGCCACGCUUUGAAGGAUCUGCCAAGCUCACUUUUAAUCAUGAGAAAGAAAUUACCCACAUGGAGUCAGCAGAAAAUGAGAAAGUAGAGCUCGUGCUGCGAAUAAUUCCAGCAAGUGCCAAGGGGCUAGUUGAGGAAUGGCUUCAUGAAGUGAAUAUCUUUAGCUUGUACUUAGGGUUUGGUUAGCGUAUAAUCAUUUUCUCUUUUAGGAGCGUUGACUAUCCUCAGUGUCUUUCCUCACUAAAGAGUGCUCAGAGCAUUCGUCAGGAUGUUGACAGAUUUAAUAUCAGUCUCGUCCUUGUUGUUAUUUACUAUGACUAAUUUUACAUGUGCAAAUAUGCAAAAAUCAAUUUAGGCGGAGAGGCGCUCCGGAGCCAACGACUGUUAAUCGCUGUAUGUGUGUGUGUCUCGCUUGCGAGUGGAUGUCCAGUAAUUUCUGUCUCUGUGUGUGUACGUGCCCUUGUUCUUGUCUUCUCUCCGUUGUGCCAUAGGUCGGGAGGUUUGGCCGGCCAAUGCCUUCUCAGAUGUGGUCUGAGGCUUUCAUUUGAUUUUUGGACCAGGAAAAAAAGAAUGUGUCACAUCAUGAUUAAUGGUCAAUCUGAAUUUUCAAUUCAUAGGAAAGGAGAAGGGGGAGGAGGAUAUGAGCCCAGUGAUGAGACUAACCUUUUCCCUUUGGGAAGAGCAUGAUUCAAAUUAAACAUCACUUUCAGUGUGAAAUUAGUUUGAAGGCUUCUUUUUUUUUCCUCCCCCCCGUGCCUGGUUUAACUCCAUGGUGGCUGCUCCUGCGGAGAGGACCCUUCCAUCCGGCCUCUGUGCCCGAAUCUGUUCCCAGUAGGCCAUAGUUCCUCUUCUUUUGUUUUAUUUUUCUAAAGACCAGGUCCAAGAAACCAAAAAAAAAAAAAAAAAAAAAAAAAAAAAAAGAAUAUUUUACUAUAAAAGCAUCAUUAUUCACAAGAUAAGAUUUUCCCCAAAACAUGUUAUUUCUUUGUGUCCCACUUAUGUUUCCAAAAAAGAAAAACAAAUAAACAAAUAAGUAAAGAUGUAAAUAAUGUUCUUCUUUUGAGGAUAAUUUUGCCAGGGAGGAGGAAAAGGGAAAGCGAGGGAUCCUUUCCAAAGACCUUUGAGUGCCCUCGGCUUUAUGCCAGUUUCUGCUAGCCGAGUGAGCCACAUUGGAGAACAGCAACCCCAAACCCCAAGCUUUCCCUCAGUUCUCUAGUUCCCCACGUAACCGAGUCACAGGAUCGCCAUGUCAACCUGCAGCAGCUCUGGCUUCAAGCAAGCAUAUGCCGGGACAGUCUGAAACUACCCUUCAGUACCUACCAGAGACUCAGGCCCAAGCUUGUAGAAAGAACCCACUGUCCAUGGAAACGCUGGGCCGCUUGCCCAUCUGUGCACAUUCUGGAUGCCACGGUUAGGCGUCAUCAGGAUUUGAUGUUCCAUUGAUGCUCUUUCUGGAAUUUGGCGGCUUGUAGAGAAAGGACAAGUAUAGAAAAGGCCAAGAGACAGGCUCCUUCUUCCAUGUCUUUUCAAAAAGAAGAUGCUAGGGCUUUGUAAUCCCUUUCCUACAGGAAGAGAGGUGUGGUGGGGGAGGGGAAGCAGCUGGGUGGGUGAGGUAGGGGAGGGGAGGCAGCUGGGGGCAGAGGUAGAGGUGGAGUGGGGGAGGUGGAAGGUGGAGGCAGAUGAGCAGCUGUGUUUAUUUUAAUACAUAUCAUUUAACCCUCACCUAAAAACAAAUUGGAGAGGUUUGGGAGUGCAUUAAUCUGGACCCAAUUAGCAUGUCUUUCUCCUUCAAAAGUGCAACCUGAGAUUAAUGAAUAUAAAGUAGAGUUUCAGAUGCAGUGCUUAAAUCAUUUGCAUGUUUCAUGCAUGAUAAUUGAAUUUAUGUAUGCACUUCCUAUCAUUUAACUAUUUCCAGUCUCCUCCCUGUGAUUCACACAAACCAAGAUUUCAUUACAGUAACCUCCAAGUGGAAAUAACUUGCCUAGACCUUACUCCUAAUGAGGAACUCAAGUUCUUGUUUCUUUUAUUUGAAUUUGAAUCAUACGAUAUUUUUUUUAAAAAGCAGAGGGAAGUUCUUAUUAGUCUGGGACACUCUUUUAGGAGGUGGUAAAUAGGCAUUCUGAGUUUAUUUUUGGAAGGCCGGAAAAUCCAUGCGAACUUAUGGCAUUGGCUUAUCAGUGGUCACAGAGAACUGGGUUUCAGUGUGGUCACUUAUCAAUAUAUUAAUAACUCUGAGAGCAAUGUCACUUUAAUGCAGCAUAAAGAACGUUCUUGGGCUCUGGGCCUGAGGUAUUUAGAUCCCUGGGAGAUUUAGUGCACCGGAUUGUUUCUGGCAUAGACCCUGGCUUCUAUAGAUGUGGGUGGGGGGAUGGUGUCAGCCUCCAUGAAGGUCUGUAGAUGGGCAGUUAGCACUUGUGGUCUCUUAGUAUGUUGUAGGGUUUUUUUCUUUUUUUUCUUUCUGUUUUGUUAUUUAGGUGUAGAAGGCUUAAUGCUGACUUAGUGUGAGCAGGUGCUAAGUUUCCCCCUCUCCACCUGCCCCAGAAUGAAAAGUCUGAAAGCUGGCAGUGGGCAUGGAAGAGAGCUUCCUGGGGAAGAAGGUGAAGCAAGCGGCUUAACAUAAAUCCCCUGGUUUCAGUUCGUAUCAGUGAUUUGUCUGUCUUCUGUCUUUCCUCAUGUGUUUCCGAGUCCGAUGUCAAAGUGAUGAGCUUUUCUGCAGGAAUUCUUCCCAGUGUCCUUUGUUUUUGGUGAAUUCAAUGGUUGAGUGUCGCUGAGUGUCUCUGGUCUUGUUUCCUGGUCCUUGUAGCUAAGAAUGUCGUUGAAGGAUAAACUCUUGUUAAUUUGUGAUGUCACAAUUUAAGUGUGCUUCCUGUCACUUAUGUGUAGUUUAAAAUGUUCCUUAAUGUAGCAUGAAAUGAUUGGUUAGCUUUGAAAUGGUUGUGAAGUCAUGUGAAGAAAAUAAGUUUUGCAUCCGACCAAGAUAAAUUCACUCUAGUGCUUUAUGGCUUUUUAUUCCUAUGUGAUAGUAAUAAAGUCUCAUGUAGGGAUGGAAGCCAUGAAAUACAUUGUGAAAAAUCAUCAACUAAGAAGGGGCCAUCAGUAUAGAAAACGGUAGCCUGUGCAGCUGUGAACAUGAUGGAGAAAUGACUUAGUGCAUAGCUCUGCUACAUGUUUGGUGUCUCUUUGAGUUUCUUUAUCCUUAGGUUUUUGACAGCUAAGGAAUCUAGGUUACAAGAGUUGAUUCAUCUUCGUAAUCAUCGAUUUACAUGCACAUUCGGGUUUGCACAUUUCUGUUUAUCAUACAUUUUUCUCCGUGUCCUAUUAUCCAAUGCGCUCUAGGAGAACUGUUAAUAGCCUACCAGUCUGGUAGGCAGCGAUCAGUCCUCCCAUGGCUUCUUUCUCCUGUGGCAGUCUUUAUUCUGACACAAAGAAGGAAUUGUCAAGUCAGACUUGACCUCUUGGAAAUGUGGUCCAGAUUGCUCUACUCCCAAGCUCCAAAAGGGUGUACAUUGCAUGGGCUAGAUCAACGCCUCCUCAGAUCCGUAAAUCCACCAGGCCAGUUCCAUGUACAGGUGUAGUUCCGGUAGGGAAACACCCACUGUCGGAGAAGGAGGAGGGCUUCAGGGUGGAGUCAGGUUCUCCUCUCUGCCACUUGGAGCCCGGGGCAAGUCUUUUCACUCUAUAUCUUUAAGAUUGGGAGAAGUAACACGGCUGGCAAGGUUGUUGUAAGGAUUAAAUGAAGAAAUGUAUACAGGACCUAGCAAAUUAUUGAGCAUGUCGGAACAAAAAAAAAAAAAAGCCCGUGAGAUUUGUUUUUCUAUUUUCUUCCCUUUCUUCCCACUCUCCUCCCCCUCCCCUUUCCCUGCCCUCCCCUCCCCACCCACCCCCCCUUUAGACCCCCCCUUUAGACAUUGGUCCAAAAACAGAACCUUUGAGAGAGCAAAGAGUUCUUCUAGAAUGUCUAGUUGUACCUCCUUUCCAUAUGUGGCUUAAAUGCCUUGGUUGGGUUCAUAGUUUCAUUUUUUUCUAAAUGAACUAUUUUAAUGUUGAUGAUUGACCUAUUUCACUUUUCUUUUUUUCUGUACAUACAUUUUUCCUUGACCUGUUUUGACUAUUGACCUAUACUCUUUUUUACUGGUUUUCUGUAUUUUUUUUCAAUGAGAAUUCUAAUAAAGAUUAUUUGUGUUA